UCCAAGCUGCCUUGCUGCUGUGAAUAGCCAGCAUGACUCUCCUUCCUGAAUUUUAACUAAGCACCGGGAUGAUUGGGUCACCUUUUCAAAGCCGAACCCCACCCGCUCGGAGUUCUCCACCUCUUUGCAGAGAUUGAAUGGCAGGCGGUUGAACUGUGGAGAGUCCCAAAUCCUAGCAGUGAUUCAAGGUCUCCAAAGAAGAUUAUGGAUACCACGAUGUCUUCAACUGGAUUACGACAAUGCUGAUACUGGGCGAGAUGCCCCUAUGCAACACCUGCCACCAGCAUCUGGCCCAGACUGUGAACAAGCAGCAAGACACUGGAGAAUUGAUUGCACCAUUUCUGUCUAGAUAAAGUAAGAUAUCUGUUACCUGCUUCUUCUAUGAUAUGGAUUUCAGUACCAACUGGUAAUGCUAACGUAUCUGAAACUUUUAUGUCAUCCUGUAAGAUAAAAAAAUUCACGUAAGCUUCAGAAAAUCUGGGAAGUCAUAAAACUUGGAUCCAUUUCACACAGAUCAAAAGGACUCCAGAUAAGUAUAGCCUAAGGUUUCCUUACCUGCCUAUUCCUGAGGAUGGUAUUUUUCUCUUUCCUGGUCUUGGGACUCCCCUCUUUCAUACUUACUACAACCAUGGGUCUAAAAGUUUCAAAUAUAAUAUUUUCCUUGAGGUUCGUAUAUUUUAUCUAGUUUAAACUUUUCUCAACAGGUUGCCACUUGGCUGACAGACACAUCUAAUCACCAGCUGCUGACUACAACUUGCUCCAAAAGUCUGUGAGCCAUGGACUUGCUGAAAGCAGAUGUGGACCAGUCCAGUCUAUGAGAAUGUUCCCUGCCUCUCCAGCGCAGUCAGCGAACCAGAUGCUUCUGAAGAAUACCCUAGUGCCUGAAUUACCCCCUUACCUUCAGUUACCCUUUCAGCCUUCUUGGACCCUGAUUACAAUGACCCAAUGUCAGCUCAAAGUAGUUAUAGAAAAGGACACGUUGUCUCAUGCUCCCUGUCCAAAAUAGGUUGAAACACUGGGACUAGGGGGUACUCCCUUGUUGUGGGAACUCCUUCAACCAAUAGCCUUUAAAAUUCUGGCCCACUUUGGGCAUGGUAUCAUGCACAGUGCAGACAAAAUGCAUGUGAGGCCCCUCCCCCCUUUUUUUCCUGCUGGUUUCAGUUCCAGUUCCCAGCACACACAGAGGACUGUGGAUUGCUACCCUUACUGUGAGUUUAUUCCCAAAUAAAUAAACCUUUGUUAUACUCCAUUCCAGGCUAUUGUGGAGCUCUUUGGUACAACUACAAUUUGGUACCCAACCUGGGGCAUGAACCCAUGACUCAGAGAUUAAGAUUCUCAUGCUCUACUGACUGAGGAAGAAGAUGGGGUCCCACAACAAUGAUUUCCAGAUGCUUGAUAUGAUGCCAUUAUUCUGGUAGCACCACUUUAAGAUAGAUUUUGGGUUACAAACUGCUCAAGAUGAUUCCAACUUGGCUACCUAAGGUGAUGUACCUUCUUACAAAGUUCUGGCCAGAACUUCAAAUAUGAAUUUCAGGAAAACCUUACUGACUACUCAGAGAUUAUCUACAAUUGUACCAUGCAGUAAUCUUGAAACUUAACCAUCAUUUUAGUUUUUACAGGAUCCCAUAGAAAUAAUAUCACCCACAUGACAGCUGGAAGUAAUUCAAGAGAACAAUGUUCCUUCUCCCAACAAAAUUUGUCCUCAAGGUUAGGAACAUAUAUUAGGGGUUGGUUAUAAGUGAUAUAUUUUUGGGGGUGGAAAUGAAGUAGACUCAAAGAUCUCUUUUGAAAUAAAAGGAAAUAUAGGGGAAAAUAGGUAGAU